UGCUUACCACCUCAUUUGCAA
rnacentral:misc_RNA from 1 species